CCUACGGGAGGCAGCAGUGGGGAAUAUUGCACAAUGGGGGGAACCCUGAUGCAGCGACGCCGCGUGGGUGAAGGAGUACUUCUGUACGUAAAGCCCUAUCAGCAGGAAAGAAAAUGACGGUACCUGACUACGACGCCCCGGCUAACUACGUGCCAGCAGCCGCGGUACUACGUAGAGGGCAAGCAUUAUCCGGAUUUACUGGGUGUAAAGGGAGCGUAGACGGCAGUGCAAGUCCGGAGUGAAAGCCCGGGGCUCAACCCUGGGACUGCUCUGGAAACUGUAAAGCUGGAGUGCGGGAGGGGCAGGCGGAAUUCCUGGUGUAGCGGUGAAAGGCGUAGAUAUCAGGAGGAACACCGGCGGCGAAGGCGGCCUGCUGGACCGUAACUGACGUUGAGGCUCGAAAGCGUGGGGAGCAAACAGGAUUAGAUACCCUGGUAGUC
rnacentral:rRNA from 1 species